UUUUCUUAUUCCAUAUGGAGUUCAGAGUGAGUGCCAGAGCGCUUAGAGAGGUUUUCCCUGGAGGCUUUGUAAACACAGACACUGGGGCAAGCCUUCCAUUAACUAACAGCCAAGUAAAACCUGCCAUGGAGUGCACGGUUGGAGCAGGGAUCCAGAGGAGGAAAUGGUCUCUUUGGAUGGUCUAGGCUGCUUCUCAAGGGUCCUGGUCCCUCUGUUGGGCACAGGGUCAUCCUACAUCAAGCCCACACCCUCUCAGGGAAGAUUUUUGUCUAUCAUUUGCUAAAAGAACAGAAAAUAUAGAUGAUCAUGCACCUCUAGGGGGUGACCCAAGAGGGGAGAAAAGAGGCAACUUGAAGCUUCAGAACCACACUCUUCUCUUUUAAUCUGUUCAAUUCUGUUUGAAUGUGCACACUGCUGAUCUGGUUAAAUUAGAUGCCAAAGUGGUAGCAAUCUGGGGGGAGAGGAAAAGUUAGACUGAUCAAGGAUAGAGGGUGGCACAGCCAAGCCAGUGCCUGGAUCUUGAAACCCUGUGUGAGGAUUUUCCAGAGGAGAACGCAUUUAAAAUGACAAGCCAAAGAAAAUGAAAACAAGCUCUUGCCUUUGGAGGCAUUUGAUGGGGAGGAACACGGACACUGGCAGAGUACAUACAGUGUUACUUGACAAACCUCAUCUACGUUUCCCUCUGGUGAAGCUCCUGAGCUAGUUUGGAAAAGCUCUGCCUUGUGGUGGCACUUCCCCUAAGCACAGGAGAAAGCAAGUGUACUGAGCUGAGCACCCAAAGCCCUCACAGUGAGAAGCAGUCCACAAUGCUCCACUCUACACCCUGCUGCCUUGGAGUCCACAGCGAUGGAGGCAGCUUCCCAGAAUGAAGCCCAUCUUCCCAUUUGCUAGCAGU